UGCAGUCGAGCGACCGACGGGAGCUUGCUCCCUUAGGUUAGCGGCGGACGGGUGAGUAACACGUGGGUAACCUGCCUGUAAGACUGGGAUAACUCCGGGAAACCGGGGCUAAUACCGGAUGCUUGAUUGAACCGCAUGGUUCAAUUAUAAAAGGUGGCUUUUAGCUACCACUUACAGAUGGACCCGCGGCGCAUUAGCUAGUUGGUGAGGUAACGGCUCACCAAGGCGACGAUGCGUAGCCGACCUGAGAGGGUGAUCGGCCACACUGGGACUGAGACACGGCCCAGACUCCUACGGGAGGCAGCAGUAGGGAAUCUUCCGCAAUGGACGAAAGUCUGACGGAGCAACGCCGCGUGAGUGAUGAAGGUUUUCGGAUCGUAAAACUCUGUUGUUAGGGAAGAACAAGUACCGUUCGAACAGGGCGGUGCCUUGACGGUACCUAACCAGAAAGCCACGGCUAACUACGUGCCAGCAGCCGCGGUAAUACGUAGGUGGCAAGCGUUGUCCGGAAUUAUUGGGCGUAAAGCGCGCGCAGGCGGUUUCUUAAGUCUGAUGUGAAAGCCCCCGGCUCAACCGGGGAGGGUCAUUGGAAACUGGGGAACUUGAGUGCAGAAGAGGAGAGUGGAAUUCCACGUGUAGCGGUGAAAUGCGUAGAGAUGUGGAGGAACACCAGUGGCGAAGGCGACUCUCUGGUCUGUAACUGACGCUGAGGCGCGAAAGCGU
rnacentral:rRNA from 2 species